AACUUGACCUAGAUAUCAUCAAAAUGAACAUUCUGACCAACUUUCAUAAAGAUCCCAUGAAAAAUGUGACCUCUAGAGUGGUCACAAGCAAAAGUUUACGCACGGACGACGGACGCUGCGCGAUCACAAAAGCUCACACUGUCACUUUGUGACAUGUGAGCUAAAAAAGGGCAUAAUUUUGUAAAAUGAAAAAUACAGGUAUUGAACCUCUGUACUGCAUGUCAUAUCAUGACAGUGGACAAGUGUGUGAAGUUUCAAUCCUUUCCACUUUGUGGAUACUGAGAUACCAGCUUACACACAAAAACUUAACCAAAAACUGCUAAGUCGAAAAAGGGGCAUAAUUUUGUAAAAA